rnacentral:rRNA from 1 species
UACGUAGGAGGCGAGCGUUGUCCGGAAUCACUGGGCGUAAAGGGCGCGUAGGCGGCUCAUGAAGGCUGUGGUGAAAGUCCGGGGCUCAACCUCGGAUCGGCCGUGGCGACUCGUGGGCUGGAGCACUGUAGAGGCGGGUGGAAUUCCGGGUGUAGCGGUGGAAUGCGUAGAGAUCCGGAAGAACACCAGUGGCGAAGGCGGCCCGCUGGGCAGUGGCUGACGCUGAGGCGCGACAGCGUGGGGAGCAAACAGG